CCUACAACUACCUCAACAACAUCUACUACAACAACAAAACCUACCAAUACCCCAGCAACUACUUCAGCUACUUUAACAACAACUCCUACCACUACCCCAACAUCAAAACCUACAACUACCUCAACAACAUCUACUACAACAACAAAACCUACCAAUACCCCAUCAACUACUUCAGCUACUUUAACAACAAUUCCUACCACUACCCCAACAUCAAAACCUACCACUAACCCAACAACUACUACAACAAAACCUACUACUAACCCAACAACAACUGCAAAUACUUCAACAACUAAACCUGCCACUACCCCAACAACAGCUACUACCACUACCCCAACAUCAAAACCUGCCACUACCCCAACGUCUACUACAACUACUACCACAACUAAACCUACCACCUCCCCAACAACAACUCCUACCACUACCCCAACAACUGCAACCACUACCCCAACAUCUAAACCUACCACUACCCUAACAACAAAACCUACAACUACUACAGCUACUUCAACAACAUCUCUUACCAGUAACCCAACAACAAAACCUACCACCACCCCAACAUCUACUACAACUACUUCAACAACUAAACCUACCACUACCCCAACAUCUACUACAACUACUUCAACAACAAAACCUACCACCACCCCAACAACUAUUACAACUACUUCAACAACUAAACCUACCACUACCCCAACAUCUACUACAACUACUUCAACAACUAAACCUACCACUACCCCAACAUCUACUACAACUACUUCAACAACUAAACCUACCACUUACCCAACAACAACUCCUACCACUACCCCAAAAACAACUCCUACCACCACCUCAACAACAACUCCUACCACUACCCCAACAUCAAAACCUACCACUACCCCAACAACUACUACAACUAUUUCAACAACUAAACCUACCACUACCCCAACGUCUACUACAACUACUUCAACAGCUAAACCUACCACUUCCCUAACAACAACUCCUACCACUACUUCAACAACAAAACCUACCACUACCCCAACAUCUACUACAACUACUUCAACAACUAAACCUACCACUACCCCAACAACAACUGCAACUACUUCAACAACUAAACCUACCAGUAACCCAACAUCUACUACAACUACCCCAACAUCAAAACCUACCACUACCCCAACAACAUCUACUACAAGUACCCCAACAUCAAAACCUGCCACUACCCCAACAUCUACUACAACUACU
ensembl:lncRNA